GGUUCCAUGUGGAAGAUCUCUAGGACUGUAGGGAGAACCUGGAUUGAGGGCAGAUUACUGCUGCUCUGCUCUCAUGAUGUGUUUGUAAGCUCAGCACAAUGGGAAGAGUCUCAGAUCAAAUGGCAAGGCAGAGUUGCCACAUAACAACAUGCAGCCAACUGUAAGUCUCGCUGUAUUAAACCCGAGGGGUGCUGAGGGGAAAAAAACUGCCUCCAAACAUGAGUGGAAAUUGAACUUAAUACUCUAAUCACCAUAAAUUGUAGUGAUUAUUUGUGUAAAACCAUAAAUGUACACUAUGACUAAAUGAGUCAUUUAU
rnacentral:lncRNA from 1 species